CGUGUAGGCGGUUAUAUCAGUCGAGUGUGAAAGCUCCCGGCUCAACUGGGAGAGUGCACUUGAAACAGUAUAACUUGAGGGCGGGAGAGGAGGGCGGAAUUCCUGGUGUAGCGGUGGAAUGCGUAGAUAUCAGGAAGAACACCGGAGGCGAAGGCGGCUCUCUGGCCCGCCACUGACGCUGAAGCACGAAAGCUAGGGGAGCAAACA
rnacentral:rRNA from 1 species